UACGUAGGGGUCGAGCGUUGUCCGGAGUUACUGGGCGUAAAGCGCGCGCAGGCGGCGCGAUAAGACCGGCGUGAAAGCCCCCCGGCUCAACCGGGGGAGGGUCGUUUGGUGACUGUCGCGCUUGAAGGCAGCAGGGGGUGAGUGGAAUUCCCGGUGUAGUGGUGAAAUGCGUAGAGAUCGGGAGGAACACCCCGUGGCGAAGG
rnacentral:rRNA from 1 species